rnacentral:rRNA from 1 species
AACGCUAGCUACAGGCUUAACACAUGCAAGUCGAGGGGCAGCGGGAUUGAAGCUUGCUUCAAUUGCCGGCGACCGGCGCACGGGUGAGUAACGCGUAUCCAACCUUCCGUACACUCAGGGAUAGCCUUUCGAAAGAAAGAUUAAUACCUGAUGGUAUGAUGAGAUUGCAUGAUAGCAUCAUUAAAGAUUUAUCGGUGUACGAUGGGGAUGCGUUCCAUUAGGUAGUAGGCGGGGUAACGGCCCACCUAGCCAACGAUGGAUAGGGGUUCUGAGAGGAAGGUCCCCCACAUUGGAACUGAGACACGGUCCAAACUCCUACGGGAGGCAGCAGUGAGGAAUAUUGGUCAAUGGACGGGAGUCUGAACCAGCCAAGUAGCGUGAAGGAUGAAGGUCCUACGGAUUGUAAACUUCUUUUAUAAGGGAAUAAACCCUCCCACGUGUGGGAGCUUGUAUGUACCUUAUGAAUAAGCAUCGGCUAACUCCGUGCCAGCAGCCGCGGUAAUACGGAGGAUGCGAGCGUUAUCCGGAUUUAUUGGGUUUAAAGGGAGUGCAGACGGGUCGUUAAGUCAGCUGUGAAAGUUUGGGGCUCAACCUUAAAAUUGCAGUUGAUACUGGCGUCCUUGAGUGCGGUUGAGGUGUGCGGAAUUCGUGGUGUAGCGGUGAAAUGCUUAGAUAUCACGAAGAACUCCGAUUG